rnacentral:rRNA from 1 species
GACUGAAACUCAAAGGAAUUGACGGGGGCCCGCACAAGCGGUGGAGCAUGUGGUUUAAUUCGAAGCAACGCGAAGAACCUUACCAGGUCUUGACAUCCUCUGACAAUCCUAGAGAUAGGACGUCCCCUUCGGGGGCAGAGUGACAGGUGGUGCAUGGUUGUCGGCAGCUCGUGUCGUGAGAUGUUGGGUUAAGUCCCGCAACGAGCGCAACCCUUGAUCUUAGUUGCCAGCAUUCAGUUGGGCACUCUAAGGUGACUGCCGGUGACAAACCGGAGGAAGGUGGGGAUGACGUCAAAUCAUCAUGCCCCUUAUGACCUGGG